rnacentral:lncRNA from 1 species
CUUUUCGCAUAUGGAGCAGCAAUCAGCUUACAACUAAAUCACAUCUGAGCACAAGCUGUCUCCACAAAGCCAACCAAAGAGGCAACAUUCACAGGCUGACAAAGCAUCCCUAAAGCAGGAAAGAAAAGAAGCCCCUGAGGCUGCUGCCCGGAGAAGGAAAAGGCUUUCAACAUUCAUACCAGUCUGUUGGGGCAUUGUGCAGACCACAGAGGGAGAGUAACUGAUGGAAUACUCUCUGAAGUUCACACUUGGGCGAAGCUGCAUGUUUAACAUCAGGAGUGGGAGGAAAGUCAUUUGUCUAGCGUGGUUUAGGCAGUACCAGAAGGGAU